GACGAACGCUGGCGGCGUGCUUAACACAUGCAAGUCGAACGGUAAGGCCCUUCGGGGUACACGAGUGGCGAACGGGUGAGUAACACGUGGGUGAUCUGCCCUGCACUUCGGGAUAAGCCCGGGAAACUGGGUCUAAUACCGGAUAGGACCACUGCCUGCAUGGGUGGUGGUGGAAAGCUUUUGCGGUGUGGGAUGGGCCCGCGGCCUAUCAGCUUGUUGGUGGGGUGAUGGCCUACCAAGGCGACGACGGGUAGCCGGCCUAGAGGGUGACCGGCCACACUGGGACUGAGAUACGGCCCAGACUCCUACGGGAGGCAGCAGUGGGGAAUAUUGCACAAUGGGCGCAAGCCUGAUGCAGCGACGCCGCGUGAGGGAUGACGGCCUUCGGGUUGUAAACCUCUUUCAGCACCGACGAAGCGCAAGUGACGGUAGGUGCAGAAGAAGGACCGGCCAACUACGUGCCAGCAGCAGCCGCGG
rnacentral:rRNA from 1 species